AGAGUUUGAUCCUGGCUCAGGAUGAACGCUGGCGGCGUGCCUAAUACAUGCAAGUCGAACGCACAGCGAAAGGUGCUUGCACCUUUCAAGUGAGUGGCGAACGGGUGAGUAACACGUGGAUAGCCUACCUCAAGGUUGGGGAUAACAUUUGGAAACAGAUGCUAAUACCGAAUAAAACUUCGUAUCGCAUGAUACAAGGUUAAAAGGCGCUACGGCGUCACCUAGAGAUGGAUCCGCGGUGCAUUAGUUAGUUGGUGGGGUAAAGGCCUACCAAGACAAUGAUGCAUAGCCGAGUUGAGAGACUGAUCGGCCACAUUGGGACUGAGACACGGCCCAAACUCCUACGGGAGGCUGCAGUAGGGAAUCUUCCACAAUGGGCGAAAGCCUGAUGGAGCAACGCCGCGUGUGUGAUGAAGGCUUUCGGGUCGUAAAGCACUGUUGUAUGGGAAGAACAGCUAGAGUAGGGAAUGACUUUAGUUUGACGGUACCAUACCAGAAAGGGACGGCUAAAUACGUGCCAGCAGCCGCGGUAAUACGUAUGUCCCGAGCGUUAUCAGGAUUUAUUGGGCGUAAAGCGAGCGCAGACGGUUGAUUAAGUCUGAUGUGAAAGCCCGGAGCUCAACUCCGGAAAGGCAUUGGAAACUGGUCAACUUGAGUGCAGUAGAGGUAAGUGGAACUCCAUGUGUAGCGGUGGAAUGCGUAGAUAUAUGGAAGAACACCAGCGGCGAAGGCGGCUUACUGGACUGUAACUGACGUUGAGGCUCGAAAGUGUGGGUAGCAAACAGGAUUAAAUACCCUGGUAGUCCACACCGUAAACGAUGAACACUAGGUGUUAGGAGGUUUCCGCCUCUUAGUGCCGAAGCUAAACGCAUUAAGUGUUCCGCCUGGGGAGUACGACCGCAAGGUUGAAACUCAAAGGAAUUGACGGGGACCCGCACAAGCGGUGGAGCAUGUGGUUUAAUUCGAAGCAACGCGAAGAACCUUACCAGGUCUUGACAUCCUUUGGAGCUUUUAGAGAUAGAAGUGUUCUCUUCGGAGACAAAGUGACAGGUGGUGCAUGGUCGUCGACAGCUCGUGUCGUGAGAUGUUGGGUUAAGUCCCGCAACGAGCGCAACCCUUAUUGUUAGUUGCCAGCAUUCAGAUGGGCACUCUAGCGAGACUGCCGGUGACAAACCGGAGGAAGGCGGGGACGACGUCAGAUCAUCAUGCCCCUUAUGACCUGGGCUACACACGUGCUACAAUGGCGUAUACAACGAGUUGCCAACCUGUGAAGGUGAGCUAAUCUCUUAAAGUACGUCUCAGUUCGGACUGCAGUCUGCAACUCGACUGCACGAAGUCGGAAUCGCUAGUAAUCGCGGAUCAGCACGCCGCGGUGAAUACGUUCCCGGGUCUUGCACUCACCGCCCGUCA
rnacentral:rRNA from 1 species